rnacentral:lncRNA from 1 species
UUGACAUGGCCUCUAUCCAUUUUGUGUUUUUGAAAGCCUGAGGAAAGGUUGGUUCUUCUUGGUCUGAGAUGGCAACUGGAAAAGAGUGAUGAAUGGAAUUUAAUUUUUCAAAAAAUAUAGUCAUAUUUGAUGUAUAAAAUUCAACAUAUCAAUUGAAUUGACUGGUGGCAGAGAUGAAGAUGGAUGUAUUACUUGAAGAGAGUUGCAAAUACAUUCGUACAAGUGCUUAGGCCAAUUUGAAUUCUUUGUGAGCAAAGGGGAAAUGAAAUUUUAUCAGAGG